rnacentral:rRNA from 1 species
GACGAACGCUGGCGGCGUGCUUAACACAUGCAAGUCGAACGGAAAGGCCCUGCUUUUGUGGGGUGCUCGAGUGGCGAACGGGUGAGUAACACGUGAGUAACCUGCCCUUUACUUUGGGAUAACUUCAGGAAACUGGGGCUAAUACCGGAUAGGAGCUCCUGCUGCAUGGUGUGGGUUGGAUAGUUUCGGCGGUUGGGGAUGGACUCGCGGCUUAUCAGCUUGUUGGUGGGGUAGUGGCUUACCAAGGCUUUGACGGGUAGCCGGCCUGAGAGGGUGACCGGCCACAUUGGGACUGAGAUACGGCCCAGACUCCUACGGGAGGCAGCAGUGGGGAAUAUUGCACAAUGGGCGGAAGCAUGAUGCAGCAACGCCGCGUGCGGGAUGACGGCCUUCGGGUUGUAAACCGCUUUCGACUGUGACGAAGCGUGAGUGACGGUAAUGGGUAAAGAAGCACCGGCUAACUACGUG